rnacentral:rRNA from 1 species
UUCGAUGAAGAACGCAGCGAAAUGCGAUAAGUAAUGUGAAUUGCAGAAUUCAGUGAAUCAUCGAAUCUUUGAACGCAUCUUGCGCUCCUUGGUAUUCUGAGGAGCAUGCCUGUUUGAGUGUCAUUU